rnacentral:rRNA from 1 species
GAGUACGGCGUGGAUUAUCUGCCCUGAGGUGGGGGAUAACCCGGGGAAACUCGGGCUAAUACCGCAUAUGACCGUGAGGUCAAAGGGGGGUCGCAAGAUCUCUCGCCAUAGGAGGAGUCCGCGUCCGAUUAGCUAGUUGGUAGGGUAAUGGCCUACCAAGGCGACGAUCGGUAGCCGGCCUGAGAGGGUGAUCGGCCACACUGGAACUGAGACACGGUCCAG